UGGGGAAUUUUGGACAAUGGGCGAAAGCCUGAUCCAGCAAUGCCGCGUGUGUGAAGAAGGCCUUCGGGUUGUAAAGCACUUUUGUCCGGAAAGAAAUCCUUGGCUCUAAUACAGUCGGGGGAUGACGGUACCGGAAGAAUAAGCACCGGCUAACUACGUGCCAGCAGCCGCGGUAAUACGUAGGGUGCAAGCGUUAAUCGGAAUUAUUGGGCGUAAAGCGUGCGCAGGCGGUUUGCUAAGACCGAUGUGAAAUCCCCGGGCUCAACCUGGGAACUGCAUUUGAAACUGGCAAGCUAGAGUCUCGUAGAGGGGGGUAGAAUUCCAGGUGUAGCGGUGAAAUGCGUAGAGAUCUGGAGGAAUACCGGUGGCGAAGGCGGCCCCCUGGACGAAGACUGACGCUCAGGUGCGAAAGCGUGGGGAGCAAACAGGAUUAGAUACCCUGGUAGUCCACGCCCUAAACGAUGUCAACUGGUUGUUGGGAAGGUUCCUUCUCAGUAAACGUAGCUAACGCGUGAAGUUGACCGCCU
rnacentral:rRNA from 1 species